GACGUAGGGCGCGAGCGUUGUCCGGAUUUAUUGGGCGUAAAGAGCUCGUAGGCGGCUUGUUGCGUCGACCGUGAAAACCCGGGGCUCAACUUCGGGCUUGCGGUCGAUACGGGCGGGCUAGAGGCAGGUAGGGGAGAAUGGAAUUCCUGGUGUAGCGGUGAAAUGCGCAGAUAUCAGGAGGAACACCGGUGGCGAAGACGGGUCUCUGGGCCGAAAUUGACGCUGAGGAGCGAAAGCGUGGGGAGCAAACAGG
rnacentral:rRNA from 1 species